rnacentral:piRNA from 1 species
UGCUAAAUAUAGAGAUGCCUACUAUGUGCUA